rnacentral:lncRNA from 1 species
ACAUGGGCCUGAGUGUGGCUCAACCAACCUCUGUGCACCCAUAGGUAGGUUUUUAAUCAAUUGUUUCACCAAAUAAUAUCUAGCAAUUAAUUUUACCCCAGUUACCUCUUCAGCAAGCGUGUGGUGCCUCCAUUGAAAGUUCUGAUUAGGUCCAACUAUUAAUAUGUUAGAAUUCAGCACAUCUGACAAACGAAUGAUCAGGUUUGAGUGUGGCUCGACCAACCUGGCCAUCAUUAAAAAGAUACAUCUAAAUCAACAUAUUAUGAAUGAUAAUUUUGACAGCCAGAUGAGCACCAGGUGUGUGGCACCUCUAAUGAUCAUCUAAACUG